CCUACGGGGGGCUGCAGUGGGGAAUAUUGGACAAUGGGCGAAAGCCUGAUCCAGCCAUGCCGCGUGUGUGAAGAAGGCCUUCGGGUUGUAAAGCACUUUCAGUGGGGAAGAAAGCCUUGGGGCUAAUACCCUCGAGGAAGGACAUCACCCACAGAAGAAGCACCGGCUAACUCCGUGCCAGCAGCCGCGGUAAUACGGAGGGUGCGAGCGUUAAUCGGAAUUACUGGGCGUAAAGUGCGCGUAGGCGGUCUGAUAAGCCGGUUGUGAAAGCCCCGGGCUCAACCUGGGAACGGCAUCCGGAACUGUCAGGCUAGAGUGCAGGAGAGGAAGGUAGAAUUCCCGGUGUAGCGGUGAAAUGCGUAGAGAUCGGGAGGAAUACCAGUGGCGAAGGCGGCCUUCUGGACUGACACUGACGCUGAGGUGCGAAAGCGUGGGUAGCAAACAGGAUUAGAUACCCUUGUAGUC
rnacentral:rRNA from 1 species